AGUGAACGCUGGCGGUAGGCCUAACACAUGCAAGUCGAACGGCAGCACAGUAAGAGCUUGCUCUUACGGGUGGCGAGUGGCGGACGGGUGAGGAAUACAUCGGAAUCUACUUUUUCGUGGGGGAUAACGUAGGGAAACUUACGCUAAUGCCGCAUACGACCUACGGGUGAAAGCAGGGGAUCUUCGGACCUUGCGCGAUUGAAUGAGCCGAUGUCGGAUUAGCUAGUUGGCGGGGUAGAGGCCCACCAAGGCGACGAUCCGUAGCUGGUCUGAGAGGAUGAUCAGCCACACUGGAACUGAGACGCGGUCCAGACUCCUACGGGAGGCAGCAGUGGGGAAUAUUGGACAAUGGGCGCAAGCCUGAUCCAGCCAUACCGCGUGGGUGAAGAAGGCCUUCGGGUUGUAAAGCCCUUUUGUUGGGAAAGAAAAGCAGCAGGUUAAUACCCCGCUGUUCUGACGGUACCCAAAGAAUAAGCACCGGCUAACUUCGUG
rnacentral:rRNA from 1 species